rnacentral:rRNA from 1 species
GGCUGGGCGGCGGCUACCAUGCAAGUCGAGCGGAGAGAGGUAGCUUGCUACUGAUCUUAGCGGCGGACGGGUGAGUAAUGCUUAGGAAUCUGCCUAUUAGUGGGGGACAACAUUUCGAAAGGAAUGCUAAUACCGCAUACGUCCUACGGGAGAAAGCAGGGGAUCUUCGGACCUUGCGCUAAUAGAUGAGCCUAAGUCGGAUUAGCUAGUUGGUGGGGUAAAGGCCUACCAAGGCGACGAUCUGUAGCGGGUCUGAGAGGAUGAUCCGCCACACUGGGACUGAGACACGGCCCAGACUCCUACGGGAGGCAGCAGUGGGGAAUAUUGGACAAUGGGCGCAAGCCUGAUCCAGCCAUGCCGCGUGUGUGAAGAAGGCCUUAUGGUUGUAAAGCACUUUAAGCGAGGAGGAGGCUACUUUAGUUAAUACCUAGAGAUAGUGGACGUUACUCGCAGAAUAAGCACCGGCUAACUCUGUGCCAGCAGCCGCGGUAAUACAGAGGGUGCAAGCGUUAAUCGGAUUUACUGGGCGUAAAGCGCGCGUAGGCGGCUAAUUAAGUCAAAUGUGAAAUCCCCGAGCUUAACUUGGGAAUUGCAUUCGAUACUGGUUAGCUAGAGUGUGGGAGAGGAUGGUAGAAUUCCAGGUGUAGCGGUGAAAUGCGUAGAGAUCUGGAGGAAUACCGAUGGCGAAGGCAGCCAUCUGGCCUAACACUGACGCUGAGGUGCGAAAGCAUGGGGAGCAAACAGGAUUAGAUACCCUGGUAGUCCAUGCCGUAAACGAUGUCUACUAGCCGUUGGGGCCUUUGAGGCUUUAGUGGCGCAGCUAACGCGAUAAGUAGACCGCCUGGGGAGUACGGUCGCAAGACUAAAACUCAAAUGAAUUGACGGGGGCCCGCACAAGCGGUGGAGCAUGUGGUUUAAUUCGAUGCAACGCGAAGAACCUUACCUGGCCUUGACAUAGUAAGAACUUUCCAGAGAUGGAUUGGUGCCUUCGGGAACUUACAUACAGGUGCUGCAUGGCUGUCGUCAGCUCGUGUCGUGAAAUGUUGGGUUAAGUCCCGCAACGAGCCGAACCCUUUUCCUUAUUUGCCAACCAUAAAUGUCGG